CUUAAAUUGAAGAGUUUGAUCAUGGCUCAGAUUGAACGCUGGCGGCAGGCCUAACACAUGCAAGUCGAGCGGAAACGACACUAACAAUCCUUCGGGUGCGUUAAUGGGCGUCGAGCGGCGGACGGGUGAGUAAUGCC
rnacentral:rRNA from 1 species